rnacentral:tRNA from 1 species
AACUUAGAAGCUUUUAAGCGCUACUUUGAAGCAGUAGAGGAGGUGUAACCCUAAGUUA